rnacentral:rRNA from 1 species
AAUAGAUACCCCGGUAGUCCACGCCGUAAACGAUGGAUGCUAGCUGUUAGAAGUAUCGACCCUUCUAGUAGCGUAGCUAACGCGUUAAGCAUCCCGCCUGUGGAGUACGGUCGCAAGACUAAAACAUAAAGGAAUUGACGGGGACCCGCACAAGCGGUGGAGCGUGUUGUUUAAUUCGAUGGUAAGCGAAGAACCUUACCCAGGCUUGACAUCCUGCCAAAGACUCUGAAAGGAGACUGUGCCUUCGGGCCGCAGUGACAGGUGAUGCAUGGCCGUCGUCAGCUCGUGUCGUGAGAUGUUUGGUUAAGUCCAUCAACGAGCGCAACCCUUGUAGUUAGUUGUAUUUUUCUAGCUAGACUGCCCUGGUAACAGGGAGGAAGGAGGGGAUGAUGUCAGGUCAGUAUCUCCCUUACGCCUGGGGCUACAAACACGCUACAAUGGCCGGUACAAAGGGCAGCCAACCCGCGAGGGGAGCAAAUCCCAUCAAAGCCGGUCUCAGUUCGGAUUGCAGGCUGAAACUCGCCUGCA